rnacentral:rRNA from 1 species
GACGAACGCUGGCGGCGUGCUUAACACAUGCAAGUCGAACGGAAAGGCCCUGCUUUUGUGGGGUGCUCGAGUGGCGAACGGGUGAGUAACACGUGAGUAACCUGCCCUUGACUUUGGGAUAACUUCAGGAAACUGGGGCUAAUACCGGAUAGGAGCUCCUGCUGCAUGGUGGGGGUUGGAAAGUUUCGGCGGUUGGGGAUGGACUCGCGGCUUAUCAGCUUGUUGGUGGGGUAGUGGCUUACCAAGGGUUUGACGGGUAGCCGGCCUGAGAGGGUGACCGGCCACAUUGGGACUGAGAUACGGCCCAGACUCCUACGGGAGGCAGCAGUGGGGAAUAUUGCACAAUGGGCGGAAGCCUGAUGCAGCAACGCCGCGUGCGGGAUGACGGCCUUCGGGUUGUAAACCGCGUUCGCCUGUGACGAAGCGUGAGUGACGGUAAUGGGUAAAGAAGCACCGGCUAACUACGUG